rnacentral:rRNA from 1 species
UACGUAGGGGGCAAGCGUUGUCCGGAUUUAUUGGGCGUAAAGAGCGUGUAGGCGGCCAGACAGGUCAGCUGUGAAAACUCGAGGCUCAACCUCGAGACGUCGGUUGAAACCGUCUGGCUAGAGUCCGGAAGAGGAGACUGGAAUUUACGGUGUAGCGGUGAAAUGCGCAGAUAUCGGGAAGAACACCCGUGGCGAAGGCGGCUCUCUGGGACGGUACUGACGCUGAGACGCGAAAGCGUGGGGAGCGAACAGG